rnacentral:rRNA from 1 species
UACGUAGGGGGGCUAGCGUUUGUCCGGAAUCAUUGGGCGUAAAGAGCGUGUAGGCGGCCCGGUAAGUCCGCUGUGAAAGUCGGGGGGCUCAACCCUCGAAUGCCGGUGGAUACUGUCGGGCUAGAGUGCGGAAGAGGCGAGUGGAAUUCCUGGUGUAGCGGUGAAAAUGCGCAGAUAUCAGGAAGAACACCAAUGGCGAAAGCAGCUUUUCUGGGACGGUACUGACGCUGGAGACGCGAAAGCGUGGGGAGCGAACAGG